rnacentral:rRNA from 1 species
GACGAACGCUGGCGGCGUGCUUAACACAUGCAGGUCGAACGGAAAGGCCCUGCUUUUGUGGGGUGCUCGAGUGGCGAACGGGUGAGUAACACGUGAGUAACCUGCCCUUGACUUUGGGAUAACUUCAGGAAACUGGGGCUAAUACCGGAUAGGAGCUCCUGCUGCAUGGUGGGGGUUGGAAAGUUUCGGCGGUUGGGGAUGGACUCGCGGCUUAUCAGCUUGUUGGUGGGGUAGUGGCUUACCAAGGCUUUGACGGGUAGCCGGCCUGAGAGGGUGACCGGCCACAUUGGGACUGAGAUACGGCCCAGACUCCUACGGGAGGCAGCAGUGGGGAAUAUUGCACAAUGGGCGGAAGCCUGAUGCAGCAACGCCGCGUGCGGGAUGACGGCCUUCGGGUUGUAAACCGCUUUCGCCUGUGACGAAGCGUGAGUGACGGUAAUGGGUAAAGAAGCACCGGCUAACUAUGUG